rnacentral:rRNA from 1 species
AGUGGCGGACGGGUGAGUAACACGUAGGAACCUGCCCAGAAGUGGGGGAUAACUCCUCGAAAGAGGGGCUAAUACCGCAUACGGUCUACGGACCAAAGCAGCAAUGCGCUACUGGAGGGGCCUGCGGUGGAUUAGCUAGUUGGUGGGGUAAUGGCCUACCAAGGCAACGACGGGUAGCUGGUCUGAGAGGAUGGUCAGCCACACUGGGACUGAGACACGGCCCAGACUCC